rnacentral:rRNA from 1 species
UACGUAGGGUGCGAGCGUUGUCCGGAAUUAUUGGGCGUAAAGAGCUCGUAGGCGGUUUGUCACGUCUGCUGUGGAAUCCCGAGGCUCAACCUCGGGCCUGCAGUGGGUACGGGCAGACUGGAGUGCGGUAGGGGGAGAAUGGAAUUCCUGGUGUAGUGGUGGAAUGCGCAGAUAUCAGGAGGAACACCGAUGGCGAAGGCAGUUCUCUGGGCCGUAACUGACGCUGAGGAGCGAAAGCGUGGGGAGCGAACAGG